rnacentral:lncRNA from 1 species
GUUUUCUAUAAUAAAUAUGGAUUAUUUGGCUAAGGUUUAUAACUAAUUAAUUGUUGUAAUAAUUAUUAUAAUUAUUACUUAAUAAGUAAUUAUAAAAGAAAUCAUAUCUCCUACGGUACUGCAGAAAUUGGAAUAGCGCUUAUGGAAAGUAAAAAAACCCCAAGCUGCAAGGAAAAAUUGUUUAUUAGUGCAUGCUAUCCUAUCUUAAUAACUGAUCCAGCAAAACAAUAUUAUAGAAACUCGUUAAAGGACAGAAUACUAUAGCAUUAAUAGGUAUAGAGUUUAUAGAAUGCAUCUAACUAUUUAUAUUCUAUUUGUUCUUAAGGGAAAUUAAAGAAAUAUUAUUGUAGAUAGAAAAGUAUAUUGUUAAUAUUCUCCAUAACUGAAUGGCCAAGCUAUGACAAAGGGGUAAUGAAUAUGAUGUGGUGUGGUGGCUUUCCAUGUAAGAAUUAACCUUUUUAAAGCAGUUUUACUCUCAUUUAUUUAGUCUUCACCAUACAGACAGCUGACAGUGAGGAAUUCACACUGAUGUGGGAGGUGUCACUGAGGAGAUGAAAUUUGAGUUGCUCCUUAAAGAAUGAGUAAGAUUUGCUAGGUGAAGAUUGGUGAAAUGGCUUUGCAGACAGACAGAAUAGCGACAGCGAAACAACAGGCGAAGUGUGAGAUGUGUCAUGGGAACACUAGUUACUCAGAUGUGUGAGUAUGUGUGUGUGUGGGUAGGUUUGUGUCAUGGGGUCCAUAUGAGGGGGUGUGGAAGGAGCUAAGUCAGUGCAAACUUUUAGCUCUGCAAGUUACAAAAUGUAAGAGGCUAAAAAAUGACCUGAAAUCUGAAAAUCACAAUUCCUAAAGUAAAGGUAGAUCGUUUCUGUCAUUUAAAAUGUGUGGCAGGAAGAAAAGCAGCAUUUAUUGAGCUCCUGUUAUAUGACUUUAUAUCUAUUGUUGCAUUUAACCCUUAGAUCAGCUCUUUAAGAGGCUGAUUACUCUCAAUUUACAUGUGAGGAAAUGCAAGCUACAGAAAUUACCCUAGAAAGAUGAAGCCCAGCAGCAGGAUUCAAUCCAGGUUCAUCCAACUCCUCAGAUGGUAUUCUUUCCAUCACACCAUGCGGUCUCUCUGAAAUACCUAAGUCAUUCUCGUAUUACAACAAACAGUGGGACACCUCCCCACACAGACCACUCUCACCACCACCACCAAAUAGCUCAGCAUAUUUGGAGACAAAAACAAAGGAAGAGAAAUGAAAUAUGCAUGUGAAAACUUUAUAGAUUAUUCUGCCCUAUUCAGCAGCCAUUAUGGGAUUGUUACUUGAUAUGAAUGUAGAGAUUUGCUACUUCGAAAGCCUUAAAGUUUCCCUAUUGUGGCCCACAGCUCUCUGGAUAUGGCAGUAUUUCUUGAACUAGCAAAAAAAGCUUAUUUUCUUCAGUAUGUGAAUCCACAUAAAGGUAUUUAUCCUAAACAGCUACUUCCUCCUUUACCAUGGACUGAUUUGGGAUUCAGCUUUGUUGCGAUGCCACAGGUGUUUUAGAUUUUGAUGGCCGCUUCCAAGUGUGGGUCUGAUGAGCUCUCCGCAUGCGCUGCCUGCCUGGGUGAGCGCUGGCCAGGCUGAGUAGGCUCAUUCAUCCAGGAGAUGGCCCUGCAGCUGAAAAGAGGUGAGGCACACUGCCUUGUCGCUUGAGUUUGCUUGUUUUCCUUCUAUGCUCUCUGCCAUGAGCCUUGAUAAGAAAGAUGAAUGCCAGCAUCUGCCAAGAUAUUAAGAUACAGAUCCUGCUUCUUCAGUUGACUAGAUUAACAUAUUAAACAGCCUAUUCUCUUAAGAUGUUUCCAGCUAAAAUUAGUUUUUCCUUUCUCAUCGUGCUAGUUGUGAUUUCAUGGGGUUAUUUUUUCUCCAGGCAGUGCUUCCUUAAGUCUUUCUCUGCUCCAGUCAUCUUCCACACUGCUGACAGACUGCUCUGUUGUAAAGGAAAAUCUCAUUGUGUUAUCCCCUUACUUAAAAUUGGUGCAGAGUAAACUCAUCCUUCAAUACUCAGGCUGUGCUUUGUCCCCCAGGAGGAGAUGACUACUUUCUGGUCCAGCUGAGCCCUGCAUGUACCUCUCACAUGGUAUCUACCCACGGUAUUUGCAGUUCUGUGUUCCUUGUCUGGUUCUCUUUCUGGUUGAUGCUUGAGUUCAGGGACUCUGUCUUUUUCACUAUUUUAUCAUAAGAAUUUCAUAUAUAGUGAUCCCAUCAUAUGUGCAAAUAAAACAUUAGCUGAAAAUAUUAAAUGAAUUAAUUAAAAGUAAAUGAAUGAUUAAGAGUUGUGAAACCUCAGUUGAAUGUAAGGGUGGAGAAGUCGGAAAGGCAGCAUAUCUAACUGCCAUCUUUAGCAUCUGAUAAAGGUUAAUGAAAAUGGCUGAGGUUUCCUUAAAAUGACAUGUAGCUAGUAGCUUUUAAAACAGUCUUUGUUUAUAGAAAAUUCUUGGUGUUUAUUUGAAUUUUUGGUGUUUAUUUGAAUUCAUGGACUAUCUCAGGAGUUGUCAGCCUACAAGUGUGUAAAGAUUGCUUUAUGGUGAUAAAAUGAGUACAGGAUGAGACCUAAGAAAAUGCAGAAUUAAUGGAGAAAAUGGUGUGUUUUUAGUUCCUCUUUACUCUAGAGCUUUGUGGAAAGAUCAUCCCAUUAUAUGGAUAAUACUUAGGAUUUUAAGAAAAAUCCUUCUUUCCAAAAAAAUGUGAAAACAUCACUUUUCUAGCCUUGCAUCCUUUUCCCAAGAAAUUCUGGCUCAUUUAUUCCUUUCCUUUGAGAUGCAGAUCCAUCUGUCCCGCUUGCCCACUUGACUUCUCUUCUGUGUUUCAAUCUAAUAACAAAAACUAGCGAUUUAACUCCCCAAAUGAUCCUCUUCCAGUUUCUUUAUCUUAGAAGGAAGCUGCUCCACUCAGCAAUUAACCCAAAACCUUAUGAAUUAACCUUGGUUCUUCUUACUUUCUUACCUCCACAUCUAAUCCAGAACCUCCUAAAUACCUACGAAACAUGUCUUAAAUAUUUCCUCCUUCUACUACCACCACCAUCUUAGUACCAGCUGCCAUGACCUAUUGCCUAGGAGAGAGCACUAAAAAACAGGGCCUUCUUCCUGAUUGAUGGCUUCAUCUUUGGACCCUCUCCAAUUCCUUGUGUAUGCUCCAGCAGAGCUAUCUUUCUGAAGUGCAAACUGGAUUAUGCCAUCUUCCUUCUUAAAACCCUGUAGUGGUUUUAAUUAUUUUAAGGUUUAAAAAUAAAUUAUUAAACCAGGUUACAAGGCCUUGAGUGGUCUGGCCUAUCUCCCUCUCCAACAGUUCCCUCAUCCCACUCUCUCUUCGGCAGCAUCAUUGGCUUUCUUUCAGUUUCUCACGUUUGCCAAGGUCUCUCCCUCCCACUUUGGACCUUUGCACUUGCUCUUCUCCUGUGUGGAAAACUCUUCUGUCUCCUAGUUAUCCAAUAAACUUUCAUUCUUUCUUCAAAUUUCAGCUUAGCCUCCCAUGACCAUGAUUUUUUACCCACUCUUGUAGCACCAUGCAACUCUUUUUUGAGGUACUAACCUUAAUUGUAAUAUUAGAUUUGUUUAAUUAGUAAAUAGUCUCCUUUCCUGGGCUCUAAGCUCUUUGAGGACAGGGACCACAUCUGGUUUUGUUCCCUAAUGCUUCUCCAGAGCUUAGCCCAAUACUCAGCAGGUACUGUGUUGUUAACAUUUAUUGAAUGAUAAUAGGCAUAUUAGCAUGUAUUGACAUUAUGGAUAAUCAUUUUUUGAGUAAUGAUAAAUAUUCAAAGAAAGACAAGCAGUAUUUAACAUAAGUGCACUAGAUAUAUCUAUCUUAACUACUGUUAUUGAUCAUAUGUGAGGGUGUCAAUGUGCUUCUUGCAUUCUUAAAAACCACUUUGCAGACUACAUAUUUGAAUUAUUAGGCUUGUGUCAAGACAUAUAAGGCUUAAAAUGUGUUUUUGUCUAUCUCAAAUCACUCUACAUUUUCAGUUUCUCAGAACUGAAAGCUGUUUCUCAGAAUUAUCACUCACUGGGCACAAUGGUUUCAGUAAAGGGAGCCGGUGUGGCAUGAGCUGGAGAUUUAGAACCAAACGUAUUUGGCUUUGAAUUCUAGCUCCGCUAUGCAUUACACGUGUAAUGUUGGGCAAAUGAGUUCAUCUCUCUGAGCGUUAGCUUUAUCAUCUGUAAAUUGGGUUUUGUAAUACCUACCUCCUGGGAUUAUUUUAUGGCUUAGGAAUUUAACGUAUAUGAUUACAGUUCUUCCUAUUUAAAGGUGCUUCAUCGUUCUUGCUUCCUGUACCUUCCUCCCAGGUAGUCUGCAUAGUUUGAAAGACACACCAAUUAGAUUCCUAUCCCUUCCGCAUGUUCCAUCUAAAUGGAGAAUAUGCUUUAAAAAUUGAACUUUAACUGAGAGGGAGCUAGAGAAAAAGGAUGGAAGGAGGAAAAAUAUGCCACUCAGUUGCCAUGGUACACCCAGGUUAAAGAAACCCGGGUUUAUAAAUGAGCAGAACGAAGAAAGUAAGUGUCGUUAGCUUUUGAUGUAGUGUUGCUUGAUUUCAGAUUGCUUUUAAUUUAAGUUAUUCAUAGUAUCUCUUCUUUCGGAGUAACUAGUUGUGUUUAUCUGCUUCUUAGCAGGAAGGUGUUAGAAGAGGUCAUCGAGAGGAUGUGAGUGCUGGUUGACCCGAGAACUGGACCAGGGCAUUUGGAGGCUCUUCACCUUCUCCCCUGUCCUUGGAAUGUAUGUUCUGUCCACGGUUCCUACAGUAGGAGCUAUUUUCAAGGACACAGCCUUGAGAGAGCAGUGUGUUGUUGAGACCAUCUUGAUUGAAAAUGUGACCAAAACCGGUUAAGGCCUCUGUAUAAAAUUGUAAGAUUUGGCAGGUGGGUGUGGAGAUCUGCUUGUCUGUGGCCAGCCAAGAUAAGCCUUCUCUGGGAGUUCCCUGUCAUUUUAAACCUGUCACCUACUGAGCUAGAGUGGUCUGCCUCUUUCUUUGGUCUGUCCUAGCUCUCCGCAUAGAGGGACCAGUUUCAAAUUUCCCCUGGGAAGCUCCUGAGUUUGUGAACCAACAGAAGGAUGUUCUCGUGUUUUGUGCUAAAUUCCUUUCAGUACACUCUUUUAACUUCACCUAGUUUAGAAGGAAAAGAUGAAGUGGAUACUGUAAACAUAGUAAUCAAGUUAACUCAGACUUUGGUUUACAAUUACAAAUUUGGCUAAUGACUGUCUGAGGGUGUUCUUAGAUGGUGAAGAUACUGAGGUAUUCUUGACAUCCCUAAUUUUACUAAAAAAUUAUGCAGCUAGAGGCCCCCUGAUGGCCUAGUGGUUAAAAUUUGACACCGUCUGCUUAGGCAGCCGGUUCACUUCCUGGUUGCGGAAACACGCUGCCUUUCUGUCAGUUGCCAUGCUGUGGCAGCCGCUCACAUAGAAGAACUAAAAGGACUUACAAAUAGAAUAUACAACCAUGCACUGGAGAUUUGGGGAGAAAAAAAAAGGGAGGAAGAUUGGCAACAGAUUUUAACUCAGAGCAAAUCUUUCCCUGCCAAAAAAAAAAAAAAUCUCUCUAUAUAAUACAUGUAUAUAUAUUAUGCAGCUAAAAAUAAUGUAAUCAAUCAUUUGGCUAUCAUUACCUUUAGGAAAGACUGUGCCAAAACCACCUCAGCAGAAGGAUAGUCUGGCUCAUUGCUUCUAAAAUACUGUAUAUCAAAGAUAACAUUUGUCAAUCAAGCCUGGUGAGCUUUGCCCUUUUUGUAUUUUCUUUUCAGAAAUAACCAUUGUAUUUUGAUACCUAUUUUUUAGGAAGUAACUAUGAAAUAUUGUAGAUAAAUUUAUUAGUAAAGAGGGAGCAUAAGACUAUUUGCCAACCAAUCACAAAUAUAAGAAUUAAUGAAGUAGUGCCCCUCUGUCUUCAAAGGAGAGAUAAUUAGUAAGUAUGAAGUCAGCGGAAGAUAAAGGCAUUGCCCUUUGACCUCAUGUUCCCACUGCACUAUUUUAUUUUUAUACAUAAUUAAGGGAUGGAUGUAAUUUCCACAUCUAAAUAAUACCGAUGUGUGCUUUAAAGAUGUGUCAAUGGCCUGUAAAAGUCUCUCUUCACAGGCAUUAAUCUCUACAAAUUCUUCCUUGAUUAACAUGCUACGAUAAUAAUAAUGCAUAUGGUUAACAAUUAUUUAAUGCUUAUUAUGUACCAGAUACUAUGAUAAUUAUUUUACAUACCUAAUUCUCAUAACAUUUCACUGAGGUAGGUAUUUAUAAGCUGUGUUUCCUAAAUGAGAAAAAUGAAACUUGAAAAUCUUGGGUAACUUUCUCAAGAUCUCUGCAGCUUAGCAUGUGAUGGAGGUGUGUUUUGAGUCCAAGUUUACAUCUGAUUCUGAAGCUUUUGAUCUUGGCCACUAGUCAGAAAUUAGCAGAGAAAAGCUGAUGGGGGCCCAAUGUGUGAUUGUUUUUGGUAAAACCAUUCUUUUAUGUAUUUCUGUGACCAUUUGAUUAACACAAGCAACAUGGUGUAGUAAGCUAUUUAUCUCUGUGUUUUCCUUGAAAGCUUUUAGGUGCGACCCUUUCUGCUGAUGAGUGCCACUGGGGGUAAAUAAUAGCCUAUGAGAUUACUCAAGUGCUUUGUUGCCAUGGAGCUGAUAAAAUGCCCAGGCUAAGAGAAAUUGGGAUCUGUGAAAACUGAUGCUGCUACAUAAAUUAAACCAGUCACUCAUUAAUGCAACAAAGCAUUAGGAAACUAUUAUAUUCCAAGUAAGAUUUUAGGUUUAAAAACACAAAAAUGAUUGGCGUAAAUUCUCUGUCCUUUACAAGCUCAUAUUCUAGUGUGUAUGGCAAGAGAGGAAUUGGAAGGUAUGUAAAUUAAUAAUUGCAAUAAGAAGAUACAUUCCAUAUUAAAGGCAUGGAACAAGGUACUCAGGGCACACAUUGAAGGGAGUGUUUGGUUAGAGUUUCAAGGAAUUAUUCUAGGGAAAGUUAUAGUUGAGUGUGAGAUGGAGUCCUUCCGGUGACAUGGAGAGGUGCGAGGGGCUAGGCAUUACAGAAAGAGGAACUGAUGUGUGCAACGGCAUCUGGCAACUGCAAGUAGUUUGGUGUGGCUGGAUUGUAAGGAUCAAAAUACCCACUAAUGCACACCUUGGAUUGUUCUGCCUUAAACAUCACACCUGCUAUGCCCUGCCUCUCUCUUUCUUUCAUCCUCCUACUCCCUUCCCUGCUGUUUGUAGGAUUGUGGGAGCUGCCUAAUUGGAAAUCUGUAAGAAGGGUCAACAGGCUGGAAAUUCAGCUAAGAGUUGAUGGUGUGGUAUUGAUCUGAAAUCUGCAGGGCAGGCCAUCAGGUGGGACGCCUACCACAGCAUGGCGUGCCAAGUGGUGCCAUGUCUGCACCCGGAUCUGAACCAAUGAACCCCAGGCCACCAAAGCGGAAUAUGCACACUCAACCACCGUGCCACCAGGCCCACCCCACCCUGAAAAUUGUGACAAGUUAUGCAUUUCAAAUAUCUGUGAUAAGACUGAGGAUUGACUCCACUUAAUUUGGAUCCUGAGUGUUACAAGAGGUGGACAGUAGCGACGCUUUGAGUUGACACUCAUCUCCCUGGCACUAGCUCUACUUAGACACAUGGAUGGCUUCUUACUGAAAAUGUCUGUCAGCUCUUUGCCUGAGUAAUUCCGCUGGCUGUAAGAAAGUGCUUGACUUGUGUGUGGAACAGACUGAAAAUGAUUGAAAGUUAACAUCCCAGGAGCGGUCUUCAACCAGUUAUGGAUGGGCGUUGGCAGAGAAACUCCAUAGUUUCUUCACCCCUCAGCCUCCCAUCUUAGAAAUUCGGGGAUCGAAGUAAACCCAUUUUAUUAAUCCCCUCCUAGGGGAGAAGCAUAGACCAUCUGACUCCUCCGUUUAUAAAUAGCUGUGCACACAGGAAGACGUAGCGGGCUGGAACCUCCACUAGCCGUUACAGUUAAGGGUUUAAAGAAACUGCGGUUCUUCCUUUUGAUCAUUGCCACCUAUCUUUAAAGAAAAUGACAUUAUUUUAACAUGUUAACUAAUUGAGAAAAAUGUGUUCCCCAAGCAUUGCUUACAAAAUAUGUUGAUGAUUUAAAAAUGUAAGUAAAUAUCAACAAAGCAGCAGAAUACACAGCAUGAAAUAAUCAAAAUUAAAAUACAUUAAAACUUCUGCUUUCUGCAACAAGGGCCAAUGAUAUUAAUAACAAUGUUGCGAAAAAAAAGUCUGGAAUAUGGUGGAAAAGAAAAUAAACCUAAGGAGGGUAAGACUGAAAUAAAAUAACCCCAGAGACCAUUACAUGGUUAAGCAAUUAAGUGAUUUCUCAUUGCUGGGAGAUAAGUAAUUUUAUUUUAAUUUUUUAUUAACUGUAAUCCAUUUUCAAAGUGAUUUGGAUUUAGGUCAACAUAAAAUACAGUAUACUUUUCAGUGUUUCUUAAAUGCAUGUUAGAAUAACUUACUUCUUAAAUAAACUAAUUAAUGCAUAAUAAUAUUUCCCCUCUUGCAUUCUUAUGAACUUUUCCUCUUAUUAUUCGUCACGGAACUGUUUUGCCUCUCUGUCCCAUACCCUUUCUGAAUGUUUGUGCUAAAGGAGUACAUUUAAUAUAUUUGAUAUUGUUACUCUGAGAAAUUAGAGUUAAAGUAAACACAUCAUUGGUCGUUGUAAUUCAUCGAAUGUUACAGACAGCAGGAGUUAGAGUAUGAGUAGUCGCCCAAGCGUGGUCUACUAAAGAGCUGAGGGAGCCAGGGCCCCUGUGGGCUGGAGUUUGGGGAAAGGAAAAAUGGAUCUUGAUCUUUCUGCUUCUAAAGUCUUUCGUCAAAGUCUUUCAGUUAUUGAUUCUUAAUCAUGUGCCAGGCCUAACUAGAAUGGAACACUUUGCAGCACUUUAAAAUCUAAAUGUGAUUAUAUGUAAAUUGAUGAACCACAUUUUCUUUGGUCCUGGUUGGCUUUUACUGUCAUAUUCUGUAAGAUGUCACGUAGCUAUUGUCGGAUAUUUAAAAAGUGGGAAGACUUCUCUUGAAAUUCAUUUCCUAGUAAUAAAAAUUACUUCUUGAAAAUCAAAUUGUUUCAAAAUUAUGUUCACACCUUAAAUUGAUCCUAUUUAAUGUUUGGAGGUGAGGUGAAAAUCUUAUUUUUUAUUUGCAUAUGUUGAUGUAUGCUACUG